UACAGAGGUCUCAAGCGUUGUUCGGAUUCAUUGGGCGUAAAGGGUGCGUAGGUGGCAAGGUAAGUCGGGUGUGAAAUCCCGGGGCUCAACCCCGGAACUGCACUCGAUACUGCCAUGCUCGAGUACUGGAGAGGAGACUGGAAUUUACGGUGUAGCAGUGAAAUGCGUAGAUAUCGUAAGGAAGACCAGUGGCGAAGGCGAGUCUCUGGACAGUUACUGACACUGAGGCACGGAGGCCAGGGGAGCAAACGGG
rnacentral:rRNA from 1 species